rnacentral:tRNA from 1 species
GGCAGGGAGUCACGGUGACCGACAAGCCUCAUAAGCUUGUUUUUGUGGGUUCAACUCCCACCCCUGCAACCA